UGCAAUAACUGUAUUAGGAAAACAAUCCAAGCCUUUUAAAAAUAAUAAUAUAUCAGUAGGUCUUAUGGUUUCUUCAGGCAACAUUUCUCUUAGUAACUUCAACUCUGCAAAAAAUUCAUUCCCAUCAAUAUCAGAUUGCUCAUUAUGGUUCAAUGCUUGCUCAAAGUUAGUACAACAAGACUUCAAAGUUGCAUCAUCUAAUGAUUGUAACUUGUGAGAAGUAAACAAGAAACCAAAAAUACUUUCAUACUCUUGGUGUUGCUCAAACCUCUUAUUAAGAGAAAC
rnacentral:lncRNA from 1 species